AUUGAACGCUGGCGGCAGGCCUAACACAUGCAAGUCGAGCGGUAACAGGUCCUUCGGGAUGCUGACGAGCGGCGGACGGGUGAGUAAUGCAUAGGAAUCUGCCCGGUAGUGGGGGAUAACCUGGGGAAACCCAGGCUAAUACCGCAUACGUCCUACGGGAGAAAGGGGGCUCCGGCUCCCGCUAUUGGAUGAGCCUAUGUCGGAUUAGCUAGUUGGUGAGGUAAUGGCUCACCAAGGCAACGAUCCGUAGCUGGUCUGAGAGGAUGAUCAGCCACAUCGGGACUGAGACACGGCCCGAACUCCUACGGGAGGCAGCAGUGGGGAAUAUUGGACAAUGGGCGCAAGCCUGAUCCAGCCAUGCCACGUGUGUGAAGAAGGCCCUCGGGUUGUAAAGCACUUUCAGCGAGGAAGAACGCCUAGGGGUUAAUACCCCCUAGGAAAGACAUCACUCGCAGAAGAAGCACCGGCUAACUCCGUGCCAGCAGCCGCGGUAAUACGGAGGGUGCAAGCGUUAAUCGGAAUUACUGGGCGUAAAGCGCGCGUAGGUGGCUUGAUAAGCCGGUUGUGAAAGCCCCGGGCUCAACCUGGGAACGGCAUCCGGAACUGUCAAGCUAGAGUGCAGGAGAGGAAGGUAGAAUUCCCGGUGUAGCGGUGAAAUGCGUAGAGAUCGGGAGGAAUACCAGUGGCGAAGGCGGCCUUCUGGACUGACACUGACACUGAGGUGCGAAAGCGUGGGUAGCAAACA
rnacentral:rRNA from 1 species